rnacentral:rRNA from 1 species
UACGAAGGGUGCAAGCGUUACUCGGAAUUACUGGGCGUAAAGCGUGCGUAGGUGGUGAGUUAAGUCUGCUGUGAAAUCCCCGGGCUCAACCUGGGAAUGGCAUUGGAUACUGGCUCGCUAGAGUGCGGUAGAGGGUGGUGGAAUUCCCGGUGUAGCAGUGAAAUGCGUAGAGAUCGGGAGGAACAUCUGUGGCGAAGGCGAGUCUCUGGACAUUUCCUGACGCUGAGGCGCGAAAGCCAGGGGAGCGAACGGG